AAGAAGAGCAGAAGCUGCAAGCUGUGCCCAACUGGGCAGAGGGAUUCUCCUCCUGGCAUCACUGGUAUCUGAAGAUGCGGUGUACAUUACGCCUCACUGAUGCCUUCCUCAGUUUCUCUGAUUUGCAUCCAACUCGCAGUCAUUAACAGCUGAUAUAAAUCUUUGUUUGCUCACAGGAAUUCUGGCAAGUUGCUUCAAGCAAAUAAAUUUCAAUGUUGCCCACGGGAAUAGGCAAAUUUUA